rnacentral:lncRNA from 1 species
GACAAGGAGCUCAGUAACCUGGACUUCAGCAUGAUGUUCCCGCUGCCCGUUGCCAACGGGAAGGGCCGGCCCGCCUCCCUGGCCGGGGCGCAAUUCAGAGGUUCAGGUCUUGAGAACUGGCCCAGCUCAGGCUCCUGGGGCAGCGGCGACCAGAACAGCUCCUCCUUUGACCCCAGCUGGACGUUCAGCGAAGGCGCUCAACUUGCUGAGUCGCACGGCAGCCACUCUCCAUUCACAUUCCUGGGACCGGGACUCGGAGGCAAGAGCAGCUAGCGCGGGCCUAUUCCUCCUUUGGUAGAGACGCAGGCGUGCGCAGCCUGACUCAGGCUGGCUUCCUGCCGGGCAAGCUGGCCCUCAGCAGCCCCGGACCCCUGUCCCCCUCAGGCAUGAAGGGGACCUCCCGGUACUACCCCUCCUACGCCAGCAGCUCUGGCGGACAGAGGCGGACAGCGGCCUGGACACGCAGCCCACGAAGGUCGGGAAGGUCCCGCCUGGUCUUCCAUCCUCGGCGUACCUGCCCAGCUCAGGUGAGGAGUACGGUAGGGAUGCCGCCGCCUAUCCAUCCGCCAAGACGCCCAGCAGCGCCUGUCCCGCCCCCUUCUACAUGGCAGAUGGCAGCCUGCACCCCUAAGCCGAGCUCUGGAGUUCCCUGGGCCAGGUGGGCUUUGGCCCCAUGCUGGGCGGGGGCUCAUGCCCCUCGUCCCUCCCGCCCAGCAGCGGCCCUGUGGGCAGUGGCGGAGGCAGCAGCACGUUUGGCGGCCUGCACCAGCACGAGCGCGUGGGCUACCGGCUGCACGGAGGAGAAGUGAACGGUGGGCUUCCGGCUGCAUCCACCUUCUCCUUGGCCCCCGGAGCCACGUAGGCGGCGUCUCCAGCCACACGCCUGUCGGCGGGGCCGACAACCUCCUGGGCUCCCGAGGGACCACAGCCAGCAGCUCUGGGGACGCCCUCGGGAAGGCCUGGCCUCAAUCUACUCUCCGGAUCACUCAAGCAAUAACUUGUGGUCCAGCCCCUCCACCGCCGUGGGCUCCCCCCAGGGCCUGGGAGGGACGUCGCACUAGCCUGGAGCAGGAGUCCCUGGUGCCUUAUCACCCAGCUACGACGGGGGUCUCCACGGCCUGGAGAGUAAGAUAGAAGACCACCUACCUGAACGAGGGCAUCCACGUGCUCUGCAGCCACGCCAUGGGCACGGCUAGCAACGUGCACACGCUGCUACCCGGCCACCGGGCGCUGGCCUUGGGCUUCGCCGGCCCCAUGCUGCUGGUGGGGGCAGCACGCAGGCCUGGUUGGAGGCGAACACCCUGAGGACGGCCCUGCGGGCAGCGCCAGCCUCAUGCACAUCCAUGUUGCCCUCUCCAGCUAGCCAGGCGCCCUCCCCGACCUCUCUUGGCCUUCCGACUCCUGCAGUGGGCUAGGGCGAGCAGGCCACUGGGGAAAUCAAGCGGGAGGAGGAGGAUGAGGAGAACACGUCGGCGGCUGACCACUCAAGAGGAGAAGAAGGAGCUGAAGGACCCCCGGGACCGGACCAGCCCAGACAAGGACGAGGAGGAAGAUGACCUUUUCCCCCCAGAGCAGAAGGCCGAGUGGGAGAAGCAGGUGGCCAAUAACGCCAGGGAGCGGCUGCGGGUCCCUUAAGAGGGCUCUUAAGGAGCUGGGGCGCAUGUGGCAACUGCACCUCAACAGCGAGAAGCCCCAGACCAAACUCCUUAUCCUGCACCAGGCCGUCUCGGUCAUCCUGAAUUUGGAGCAGCAAGUGCGAGAGCGGAACCUGAAUCCCAAAACAGCCUGUUUGAAACGGCGAGAAGAGAAGGUGUCGCGCGUGUUCGGAGGCCCCCAGAUGGUGCUUUCAGCUGCCCACCUGGGCUUGAGUGAAGCCCACAACCCCGCUGGGCACGUGUGAAAGUAAACAAAACCUGAAUGCAAGCAACAAAACAUACACUUUGUCAGAAAAGAAAAAAAUGCCUUAACUAUAAAAUGUGGAGAAAUCGUAACAUAUCACUUGAGGGAGAUGCUGUGGAAACUUGGCUUAUUCUUCAAAAGCCAGCAGCAAAUUGUGCCUAAGCGUAAUUUUUUUUAAGGAAAAUAAAAAGAACAUUAGUUA